AAAAAGAUAAGCUAAUUUAAGCUUUUGGGUUCAUACCCCGAAUAUAAAGUACACCUUUUCUUUUUA
rnacentral:tRNA from 1 species